GGCACUGCUUCCCAGCUCCGGAAACCUGAUCUCUUCUUGUCAACUAGACCACAUGCUUCAGAUUCCCUGCAAACAGGAGAGAAAACAGAAGUCAGAGUCAGGGAUUUUCAGUGCUUUGGGUCAGCUGCAUGGAAGGAGCAGGGUGAGCAAUGUGGAGUUUCAGAUGAAUUUCUUCAGUUGCCCAAAAUAUAUGAAACACUGUGAUACUCUAAACCACA